AGUGAACGCUGGCGGUAGGCCUAACACAUGCAAGUCGAACGGCAGCACAGUAAGAGCUUGCUCUUACGGGUGGCGAGUGGCGUACGGGUGAGGAAUACAUCGGAAUCUACUUUUUCGUGGGGGAUAACGUAGGGAAACUUCCGCUAAUACCGCAUACGGCCUACGGGUGAAAGCAGAGGAUCUUCGGACCUUGCGCGAUUGAAUGAGCCGAUGUCGGAUUAGCUAGUUGGCGGGGUAAAGGCCCACCAAGGCGACGAUCCGUAGCUGGUCUGAGAGGAUGAUCAGCCACACUGGAACUGAGACACGGUCCAGACUCCUACGGGAGGCAGCAGUGGGGAAUAUUGGACAAUGGGCGCAAGCCUGAUCCAGCCAUACCGCGUGGGUGAAGAAGGCCUUCGGGUUGUAAAGCCCUUUUGUUAGGAAAGAAAAGCAGCAGGUUAAUACCCCGCUGUUCUGACGGUACCCAAAGAAUAAGCACCGGCUAACUUCGUG
rnacentral:rRNA from 1 species